rnacentral:piRNA from 1 species
CAAUGAACUGGAAGUUGAAGGAGC